CUUUUACAAGUCGCAGAAAAGCGCAACCUAACGUUGACUAAAACCGAGUGUACCCAAUGAAAUAAAGACCUUAUUGCUUUACGUUAAGAUUUUAAAUACAAGAACAACAGCGACUCGUGCUAUCUCGCUCAUAAUUUGCGCAUACAAAACACGCGUAGGCAACAACCAAUAGUGGACGGACGCACGCUUUGAUUGGUUAAGAUAUUUUCGCGCCAUUCAA